UGGCGGACGGGUGAGUAACGCGUGAGAAUCUGCCUUCAGGUUGGGGACAACAACUGGAAACGGUUGCUAAUACCCAAUGUGCCGAGAGGUGAAAGCUUUAGUGCCUGAAGAUGAGCUCGCGUCUGAUUAGCUAGUUGGAGUGGUAAAGGCACCCCAAGGCGACGAUCAGUAGCUGGUCUGAGAGGAUGAUCAGCCACACUGGGACUGAGACACGGCCCAGACUCCUACGGGAGGCAGCAGUGGGGAAUUUUCCGCAAUGGGCGAAAGCCUGACGGAGCAAUACCGCGUGAGGGAGGAAGGCUCUUGGGUCGUAAACCUCUUUUGUCAGGGAAGAACACAAUGACGGUACCUGACGAAUCAGCAUCGGCUAACUCCGUGCCAGCAGCCGCGGUAAUACGGGGGAUGCAAGCGUUAUCCGGAAUUAUUGGGCGUAAAGCGUCCGCAGGUGGUUGUCCAAGUCUGCUGUUAAAGCAUGGGGCUUAACUCCAUAUAGGCAGUGGAAACUGGGCGACUAGAGUACGGUAGGGGUCGCGGGAAUUCCCAGUGUAGCGGUGAAAUGCGUAGAUAUUGGGAAGAACACCAGUGGCGAAAGCGCGCGGCUGGACCUGUACUGACACUGAGGGACGAAAGCUAGGGGAGCGAAAGGGAUUAGAUACCCC
rnacentral:rRNA from 1 species